UUUUCACAGGGUCAUGGGAACACCACCACCAUCCCCUCCGCAGUCAGAUGUUUAGUUAGAGGGUAUGUCUAGGAAUACUAGACAAUCCAAACAGCUAAGGAGGUAGACUUUACGAGCCUUGCAUCAGCCAAGACCAACUGUAAACAUCGAUGCCACAACUGGUCAAGGAUCGAGCCCACAUAAAGAGAAAUUCCACAGCUGUUUAGGGGUCAUAGCUAGAGAAAAAAUUCCAAUUCUACAUAACAACUAGAAAGAUGUACCAGACUCGCUAAAGGACCUAGUAUGAGAUGACAUUUUGGCGAAAUUUGAGAUCCUAGAAGCGGCGAAUGCAAAGAAAAAGGUGAUGUCCACCAUGGCCACUAGAUGGAGGCAAUUUAAAUCAACCCUGACCACUAAAUAUGUCUAUGCUAACUUUGAGGGACAAAAUAAACAUGAUCCUUCGGUAAAAUAUGGCCUAGAUACAUAAACUUGGGAGGAAUUUGCCGUAAGCCGCAAAACCCCUAACUGGCAGGAAUCAAGAAGAAGAUGCAGGAGAUCCAAAACUACAAUGACUGCCCCCAUUUACUUUCUCGUGGGGGGUAUGAUUUGCUUGAAAAGAAGAUAUUGGACGAGAAAAUGAAGAAAAGACAACAUGAAGCAAUGAUGACUGAGAAUACACCACACCUUGAAGACCCCCUAUCUCCCAUUGAAAGACAUGUUAAGUGGAAGUUGGCACGCACAAAGCGAUAUGGGCAGAUGACAUCUCAGGCGGCACAAGAAAUAUUUGAUAAAAUUGUGAGUUGGUUGUUCAAUUUUUAUUACAAUUAUUUGAAUUUUGGAUUAAUUGUUUGUUUGUGUUUUACAUAUAAUUAGUAUUACUUGUUAUUUAAUCAACAAUUAUACCUAAAUUUGUUGUGUGUUUAUUUUGUGCUUCAUGAAUGACUCAUUGGAAGAACAGACGACAUAGGGUACGUUUGUCCCACAUGGUCAUGACGACAUACUUAACAUUGCCAUUGGGCGACUGGAUCAUGGAGGUCCUGUUCAUGCAAUAGCCUUUGGGGUCACAAUAAGUCAAUACUAUGGAAGGACAUCACGUGCCUCUAGUAGCUCAUCCACAUCCAUCAGCCAACAACAGUUGGUUGAAAUCAUAGGAAGCCUUAAGGAAGAAUGGAGGAAUGAAUUUAAAGAAGAAAACAAAUGAAGUCUAUAGAUAUUGAAACAAGAGUUGAAGGAACAAAUCAUAAUUGAGUUGUCGCAAAGGGGAUCACAGUUCUCAACACCUAUUAAGGGAGAUAUACAUGUGUUAGGUGCACGAGUGAGAACAAAGGGGAGCAAUGUUGAAACUGCUGUCAACCCAUCUGGGGAAGAACAUGUUGCUUAUGUGAUACUGACUAUGGGGUUGUAAGUCCAUCGUCAAGAUGCUACAAAGUUGGUGGCCUUGGGAAAAAUAUAUGACAGAGCCCCUACCAUACACAGUGUGGCUUAUGCAGAUGAUGUCGUAAGGGUUAGUGUUGAUAAAGUUAUUAACGGUGACGCUGAAGUCCCAUUGUCGACAUCAGAAAUUAAGUAUGUUAGGUAGGCCCUUGACACAUUCAUUGCAUGGCCAACACUCCUUGUAAAACUGGUAUCAAAUGAGGUUUCAGCCAUUGCUCCAAAUAAAGUGACUGAAGAUGUUCAACCAGUGAAUGAUGUUGCUGUAGAUGACCCCUUGGGUGAGUUGAUAAAGAGCCUGGUUGACAUUUAUGAGAAGACUGUUCAGUUGGUGUGGGAUGUUAGUAAAUUUGGAAUUCCAAAUGUAGAUGCAUCCUUGUUCGUAACAUGUGUUUAUGUCAACAAAAUAAUAUCAGACGUACAAUGUUGGAACAUAGCUAUACUACAGUUGUGGACCAUGUAUAUGGAUGAAUGGAGCAAUAGCUUGGGUCAUGGAUCGGUGUAUGGAUUCCUUGAGCCGCAGUCAAUACUCAAUGCAAAGGAUAGAUGUGGCUAAUGUCAAGAUUACAUCAAGAAAUGGCUUAAGGAAUCUCAUUGAGAGGUGUAUCUAGGAGCUUAUUUGAAUUAGCCCAUUGGCAGCUGGUUGUUUUGUGUCCUACAAACAAUAUUGUUGUGUGGUUUUGUUCAUUGCGUAAAAAGCCAGUUGUUCAAAUAAAAGCUGCAAUUAACAAUGCAUUUAAGACAUUAAAGACCACUUGUGACGGGAAAAUUGAUCAAAGUACACCCUAGUGGAUUGAAGUGAAGAGUCACGUUCAAAGCGGAGGCUAUGAGUGUGGCUAUUAUGUCAUGCAUUGGAUGUGGAACAUAAUCAGAGGGGAGUUGAAGACUGAUUGGACCAUGUGGUUUGGUGAUGGCACGCCACUAGACAUCGAGACCAUGACAACAUUACAGAAAAAAUGGGCAGCAUGCUUUUUAAGAGUUAGAAGCAUCGAAUGUAGAAAGCUUUAGAUGACAUGCCAACAACCACUUUGGUGUUUUUCAUGUAUUUGUUUAAGUUUUAGAAACAAUUUUACUGCUGUAAUGACUAUUAUUUGCGGGGAAAAUAGAUAUUUGUUCAUUUCAUUUUGGUAUGCACUCAAACAUUGAGACAAUGCAUUGUAUUUGCAUUCGGUAUUUGCGUGGGUAGGAUAUGUGUUUGUUGUGCAACCAAGCUGCCCAUUUUUGCAGGUCUUUGCAAAGGUGUGGAUUUCAAAACUGCUAAUGAUUCAAAAACUUUAGAAUAUUCAUUAUGAGGUGUGGAGUCAUCAUGGGCAAGUGUAAUGUUGUAAAGUGUAAGGCCCCUUAAAAAGGUAACUAAUAAUCAUUUUUGCUUUUGUUUUGAAUUUUUCAUUGUUGGUGCCUAAAUGUGUUUCUUCAUUAGUACUCGAGUCUACAAUGUGUACACAGGCAUUGGUUACAUCAGGUGAUGUGGAGCAUGAGGCAACAAUUUCCAACAAGCCUUUCAUAACUACAAAUCUCGUAGUCACCGAUAUUAAGAUACGUAAUGUUGACCCAAUGGACGGUGUAUUAUUGAUUGUUAAUAUUCUUUGAUCUUAUAAUCUUAUAUGUUGACAAGCUUUUAUUUGUAUUGUAUCUUAUAAUUUGUUUUUGCUUUUAUCUAUCAAUGACCAGAU